GAGCUCGUGGACGAGCGGCGGACGGGUGAGUAACACGUGGGCAACCUGCCUGUAAGAUCGGAAUAACCCCGGGAAACCGGGGCUAAUGCCGGGUAAUACUUUCUUUCGCAUGAAGGAAAGUUGAAAGAUGGCUUCUUGCUAUCACUUACAGAUGGGCCCGCGGCGCAUUAGCUAGUUGGUGAGGUAACGGCUCACCAAGGCGACGAUGCGUAGCCGACCUGAGAGGGUGAUCGGCCACACUGGGACUGAGACACGGCCCAGACUCCUACGGGAGGCAGCAGUAGGGAAUCUUCCGCAAUGGACGAAAGUCUGACGGAGCAACGCCGCGUGAACGAUGAAGGUCUUCGGAUCGUAAAGUUCUGUUGUUAGGGAAGAACAAGUACCGUGCGAAUAGAGCGGUACCUUGACGGUACCUAACGAGGAAGCCCCGGCUAACUACGUGCCAGCAGCCGCGGUAAUACGUAGGGGGCAAGCGUUGUCCGGAAUUAUUGGGCGUAAAGCGCGCGCAGGCGGUUCCUUAAGUCUGAUGUGAAAGCCCACGGCUCAACCGUGGAGGGUCAUUGGAAACUGGGGAACUUGAGGACAGAAGAGGAGAGUGGAAUUCCACGUGUAGCGGUGAAAUGCGUAGAUAUGUGGAGGAACACCAGUGGCGAAGGCGACUCUCUGGUCUGUUUCUGACGCUGAGGUGCGAAAGCGUGGGUAGCAAACAGGAUUAGAUACCCUGGUAGUCCACGCCGUAAACGAUGAGUGCUAGGUGUUAGGGGGCUUCCACCCCUUAGUGCUGAAGUUAACGCAUUAAGCACUCCGCCUGGGGAGUACGGCGCAAGGCUGAAACUCAAAGGAAUUGACGGGAGGCCCGCACAAGCGGUUGCAGNNAUGUGGGUNUUAAUUCGA
rnacentral:rRNA from 2 species